UACGAAGGGGGCUAGCGUUGCUCGGAAUUACUGGGCGUAAAGCGCACGUAGGCGGUCUUUUAAGUCGGGGGUGAAAUCCUGGAGCUCAACUCCAGAACUGCCUUCGAUACUGGAAGACUCGAGUCCGGGAGAGGUGAGUGGAACUGCGAGUGUAGAGGUGAAAUUCGUAGAUAUUCGCAAGAACACCAGUGGCGAAGGCGGCUCACUGGCCCGGUACUGACGCUCAGGUGCGAAAGCGUGGGGAGCAAACAGGG
rnacentral:rRNA from 1 species